UACGGAGGGGGCUAGCGUUGUUCGGAAUUACUGGGCGUAAAGCGCGCGUAGGCGGACCUGCAAGUCGGGGGUGAAAGCCCGAGGCUCAACCUCGGAACUGCCUUCGAUACUGCGGGUCCCGAGUCCGGGAGAGGUGAGUGGAAUUCCUAGUGUAGAGGUGAAAUUCGUAGAUAUUAGGAAGAACACCAGUGGCGAAGGCGGCUCACUGGCCCGGUUCUGACGCUGAGGCGCGAAAGCGUGGGGAGCAAACAGG
rnacentral:rRNA from 1 species